GCGUUCAUUUCGCAAGAAAUAUUCCUCCGAUCUGAAAAAGUAGCAGGACUCCUCUUGGUGCACGAUUUUGUGGCAGCCAUAAAAUUCUUAAAAUGCAUAGUUACAAUGAAAUUGUGGGCACGAAUGUAACCCUCGGCUAAGGUUAAUCUGGCGAGAGCAUCGCGACGCCUGGCUAAUGGCACGUCCGACGGUUGCGUGCCAGCAUUUUCAGCCAAGCAGUCGUCGAGCAUCCGUCCUGCUCGGGAGGGAGCUCAGCCGACUGAGUGAUGAAGUGAGUGUGGAGUGAGGCCUAUUUUUGUGCUUACCGACAAACAGCCUCGUAGAUCUCAUGACACGUCGUUAGAAGCCCACGAAAAUACACUCGAUGUUACUCCAAAGUGCUAUGAGAUAUCCGCAGAGAGUUUACCUUCUUAGUUUAUUCCAAGAAACAACAGAAACGUUCUUUUCUUCCUCCCGAUUUUUUCGGUACACACAUUAACCUAUCGUAUUUACCUACGCUCUAGAGAGUUUACCUUCUUUGUUUAUUCCAAGAAACAACAAAAACGUUCCUUUCUUUCUCCCGACUUUGUUCGUACACACAUUAACCUAUCGUAUUUACACUCUCCGAUCGUUGUAAUCAUGCGAUCAAACGUCCGACAAUAUACAAACAAAUCUUAUCUAACCGAUAUAUAUUGUUCUUAACUUUGUUUCGUAUCGGAGAAAUCGUUCAGAAACUAUCCGGAAUGGUCUUAAUCGAAUCUCAUUAAUCUUAAGUUCCACAUAGAUUAAACGUCUCUAUUUGGAUCAAUGACAGCUUUUCUCCCGAUUAUCAAACUCACGUAAACGCCUUGAAUUCGCAGGAUAUUCAAUUACGUCGAAUGCUCGUGCGAAGCGAAGCAAGGCCCCGAAAUUAGCUGGCAUCUCGACCGAUACGAAUACGGACCGAGCAUGAAACCGUGUCUAACGAGCGUUCGCUCGCCCGUCCAAGGGGUUUUGUACGAAACUAGCCUGCAGACAUCGGUGGCAAAUGAUCACUGCGGUCGUAGAAGUCUAGCGGAACUAGGAUUAUCCAGAUAUCUAUGGAUAUAUCUGACGCUUAGGAACGUGGCAUUUUAACACUCAAGAAGAUCUCAAACGCUUAAUCGACGUCGUAUCACCAAAGAAAAAGUUAGAAAGGAGAGAUUUCGAGAAUGACUACGGACAGGCGUCCGCUCUAUAUCAGCUUUUACACUGACUCCCUUCGUGACAGUUACCACCGUGCCGUUCGAAGAUGCUCAUUCUACAAAGUUAUUGCCAACAGCUGUACAACUUUUUUCGAUCGUUUCGUUCGCGCUCCGAAAAUUAUCGCCUACCAGGCGAACGCUUUACGAUGAAGACGCAAGCAUAACCUUCUCUUCCGAUCGAGCGUUCUUUAUACGUCCAUAAAGGGAAAUUAAUGUUCUGGAUGGUAAUGGUAAAUGGAGUGGAAAGAAGACAAGAAAUCGUAAGAUAAACGACAUCGGGAUGUGCCGAAGGCUGGCAUCUUUUAUCGAUGAGAAACGAAAGAAGAAGGUGCAAGCGAGAGAUCGAAAUUUUAAGUUAAAUUUUGAUCUUGUGGAAAGGUCACUACAAAGAUAACUUUAGCGUUCUCUUUGCAAAUAGCUAUUUAUUCGAUAAUUCAUCUUGUAAAAAAGGUAAAAUUUAUAUAUUAUCGAUGCAUUAUGUUUAUGCGUGUAUAUAAAUGACUUCUUAAAUGAGAUAACGAUUUAACUAGGAUACAUUUAACUUUCCGAUUUUUUUUAUGCAAACACGAAAGAAGCAACUCCGUAAAUGAGAGUGAAAUUUGAAUCGAUCACAAGGGGAACUCUCUACGGUGAAAGGAAAUGCACGAGGAAGCGAUCGCGGAUGAUGAACGAUCGGGUCGAGAGAAAAUAAAGUGGUAGAUCGUAGAGCGGAGAAACGUCGAUGGGAAGCAUUCCCAUCUAUCAAGCCCUUCCCCGAUAAUCAUCGGUUGCCGACCGAACUCGAGUAGAAACAAAAUCUCGUGAAACGACUAAAAAAUGAGAUCAACGCGGUAUCCCCGCUUCAUCUCUUGCCACUCUCUCGUCUUCCGCACCUCCUUCCCUCCCUAUUUCCUCUCUCUUUCUCUCAUUUACUCUCUUUAAAUCUCUUGCAACGAUUAGCAAAUUGAGAAUAUUGAAGAUGAGAUGAUACAGUAGAUAGGAGAUAAUAACGU